GCAGUGCCUCCUGCGGAGGUGGCGGGAGAGGAGGCUGACGGGAAACCGAAGGAGAGUCCUACAUGUAUCAUUUGUUUUUCCAGCUCUUUCAACCACAUUUCUCAGCCUCUGAAAUGCAGCAACUGCCCUGGAAGACUCGAGGUGACUGUGCCAGGAGGAGCUGCAGACGGCGUGCCUUGUGGGUCUGGAGGCAGGACUGGAGCCCCAGAGCGGGUGGGAUGGAGGGAAGGUCAAGGUGGGCAGGAGGCACCAGAAGUACAUCAGCGGGGGUGGGCCAGGGGCACGGAUGGGGGAUGGCACUCCAUCACCAAGGCGAUGCUACUUCCUCCUGCAGCCGUGGCUGGACCACGCCCUCCCAUCACCUCAUCAGUGGCUCCAGGUGCCUCUGUGGGCGUGUGGAGCAGGUUUGGUCACUUUCAGCUCAUGGAUGAGGAAGUAACCACAGAGACGGUUCUGUCCCUUUCCAGAAGAGGCUAGGACAGCGUGGAGCUCAGGGAUUUCUGUGCCAGGGUCUGUGCUGUUUCUGGGAGCUGGUGAGGGCCACAGGCUGCCGUGCUCUCGGGACAGGUGUGGGCGUGACUCAGUGGACACAGGGGGAGGCAAGGCCCAACCAUGGCUCAGGGGUGGGCCCUGGUCCCUGGAAGGGAUGCUUGCUGAGUUAGUCUGGCUAUUUCAGGUGGGGAGACUGCAGACCAAGGCUGGUUGCUGCAGGUGCUGGGGGUUUGGUGGAAGGACAGUCAGAGAAGGAGGGAAGGCUGGAGAUGCUUCCCUAGGCCUCUUGGGGAACGGGGAGCUUGUUCAAGGUCGAGUGUUACCCUAGCAACGGUUGUUCUCCCCUCAGAAGUGGUGAUUUCCCACCAUUGGGGUCCUCCCCCCAUCUCUUCUCUCUGCUGCCUCACGGCUCCUGCUUUCUGCCAUUUUCAUCCGGCUCUCUAUUUCCUGUCACCACCUGCUCCCUGGAGCUCCUCUCCAGGUGCGUUAUAUUUAAAGGCCCUUAACAGUGAGGGGGUCACAGGGCACCUACCAGGCUGGUCUCCAGGUGGCUGCGCUGGGGUAAGUCUGACACCUGGCCCCGUUAGCAGAGGCCAAGGUGGCAAGGCGACCACACGCAGAGCCAGUGUCCGAGCGGCUCGUGGCGUGGUGGGUCCCCAGAGCAGCGGCCCCAUGCCUGGCCGAAGCAACGCAGAGCCCCUGUCCUCAGGGGAUUUGGGAAGAACUGGGACACUAAGCAGCGCUCCAGAAAUUCCAGGAUUUCCAGACCGAGGGAACGAGAGGCAAUUUCAUGGUCCAGAGCGGAAGCGUUGGGCAGGAGCGUGGUGCCCGGGGCAGCCCUGGAGCCCGUGCCCCUGCCCUACAUUUCCCUUCUGGAACAUGAAAUCGCCUCUGCUGAGACAGGGGCAGAGGUGGAAGAGGCGGAGGGAGGGGACAAUGUCCAUAAACCCUCCUGCCCAGGGCCGGUCCUGAUUCCGGACACGAAAGCCAGGCUGGGCUGGCAGGAAGGGUCUGUGAGCUUCAGCUGUGGGCCCAGGUAGGCUAGGACCAGUGAUGGACAGAUCGAGGCCGCACUGGACAAGCUCAGGUGGACCCGUGUGCAGCAAACCAUGAUGAUACCACGUCUUCGUGGAAAAGGGGACUCGACACGUAACCCUUGGUGUCAGGACCUGCUCUGAAACGAAGAGGAUUCCGUUCUCGCAGCUAAAGUCCUAAGUGAUGGGAAACCCCGCCUCUGUGAACACACCCCAGGCACACGCCCCACCGGAGCCCCCGGAAAGAGGGGGUGGCGGUGGGUGGUGAGUCCCCUGAGCAUGUUCCACACAGACCGGAGGGUCCAUGGCCCUGUCCUGCUCCGGGGCUGCAGGCAUGGGCUUGGGGUGGGGGUGGGGGCUGGACCCCUGGCUUUGACGACCCUCCUCAACCUGGUCCCGUCUUUGCCAGGCCUGCCAUUCCCAGGGCUUCCCCAGCCCCUCCGCCUGCAAAGCCAGUCCUGCUCACUCCCUGCUGUCCUUAGGAUGAUGGCAACUCACGUGAGAUGCGUGUUGUCUGAAUAAAAUGUAAUUCAAAGCGAAUACAAAGAGAAUAGAGUCCAUGUGUGUGGUCUAGCUAGUUCUCACAAAGCCACCCCUGCCAAAGCGAACUAAAGUCAGAGCAAAUGUGUUCUUUUUUAUUUUUAAAAAUUUUUUCCUGGGAAAUUCCAUAUGCUGCAGGUGCGGCCGUAAAAAGAAAAAAAGGUUCCUUUGAGGGUGAUGCCUGAUGUGGCCCGCUGUCUGGGGUACAGAUGCCUAGUCCACCCCCAGAGGAAAGAAGAGAAAAGAAGAAAACAAGCCUCUUGGUCCCGCUUCCCGCCCUGCUCUGUACUGUCCUCACGGGGUUACUUAGGUGAGUCCUGCCCUCCUUUCCUGCUAGACGGCGCGUUUCUAGGGAGGAUUCAGGCCUUUUCAUGCCAUCACUGUGCAAGGUCCACCGGCCCCUUCCGGAUCCAUCCCAUCCGGGGAGCCUCUCACUCGGCCAGAGGGGUGAGUGGCGUUACCAGGACGCCGUCAUUUGGGAGAGGCGGCUUCAACGCCCCUCCUCGGGGGAGAGGCAGCAGUCGUUUCAGGUACCCGAAGCGGGCUUUGAAUCCUGGCUCUGUGGUCUUACACAGGGUGCUUCACUUUCCCAAGCCUGGGUUUUCUCAUCUAUGGAAAGAUGACAUUGACCUCGUCAAAGUCGGAUGAGGCUGGAGAGAGUCGUUGUGCGUCUAAGCCUCUCAGCACACGGCGCCUAUCGGAGGGCAAAACGCUCGGGGAUGCAGGGUCCUCUUGCCCUGAGCUGGGUCUGGCUCCCCCGUGAUCUUCUUCCUUAUUUAUUGAGCAGUUACUGUGCGCUAAGCCUGGUGCUACGCGCUCUGACCCUGGAAAGCUGCACAGAACGGUUGAGUGUGUUUCCUUCCUGGUUUAGGGGAGGAGGAAACGGAGCCCCAGGGAGUUUAGGUUCUUGACCGAGGUCACCCCACGGUGAAGUGACUCAGCCAGUAUUUAAAGCCACGUCUCGCUAACGUUUAUGAUGUGCUUCUCGCCAUCACGAGAAGGAGCCUUUCCUUAGGGCCUGAGCUCAGCUCUGGGUUCAAAAGGAGGCCUGAGCGACCUUCCGGCCCUGCGCACGUUACCUGAGUUAACGGUGCCAGUCGGGUUGGCUCGCGAGCCAUCCAGGUGCGUGGAGGAAGCGGGAGUUACCGCUACAAAAGAAUCAGUGGUUAAGCCGCCAGGGCCUUUGCGCUCCGAGGUCUGUGUCAUUUCAGCCCUCGGCGAGGAAGCAGACGCCCACCGUACGCACAUCUGGGUCUACCCGCCUCCCGUGAAGCAAGCCCUCUGUUCCUGGUCUGAUUUCUGCAGCCUCAGUCAGACCCAGGCCACCUGCUCGGGAAUCUAGAAGACAGAGGAUGGAUAAACAACAAGCAGCUACUGUCGAGCACGGGGAAUCAUAGCCAACAUCCUGUAAUAAUAAGCCUUAAUGGAAAAGAAUAAACAAAGGAAAGUAUGUAUAUACUGAAUCACUUUGCUGCACAGCCGAAAUUAACACAGAAUUGUCAAACAACCACACUUAAACAUUUUUUUUUUUCUUUUUUUUUCUGCGGGGGGGCACUGCCUCGAGACAUAUGGAGUUCUUGGGCCAAGGAACCGAUCUCUGCUGCAGUUGUGACCUAAGCCACAGCUGUGGCAAUGCUGGAUCCUUUAACCCAUGGAACCAGGUCAGGGAUCGAACCUGUGUUCCGGCACUGCAGAGACACCUCUGAACCCAUUGUGCCACAGCAGGAACUCCUCAAUCAACUAGAUUUUAAUAAUUAAAAAAAAAAAAGAUACUCGGAGUUCCCUUGUGGCUUAGCAGGUUAAAGAUCCAACGUCGUCACUGCAGCAGCUCCAGUCACUGCGGUGGCACAUUUUUUUUUUUUUUGUCUUUUUAGGGGCCACACCUGGGGCAUAUGAAGUUCCCAGGCUAGGGGUCCAAUCGGAGCUGCAGCUGCUGGUUUACACCGCAGCCACAGCAACUUGGGAUCUGAGCUGUGUCCGCGAUCUACACCCCAGCUCAUGGCAACACCGGAUCCUUAACCCCCUGAGCAAGUCCAGGGAUCGACCCAUCCUCAUGGAUACUAGUCAGGUUCGUUCCUGCUGAGCCAC
rnacentral:lncRNA from 1 species